AAAGAGAAGCGGAACUAAGUCCCGCCGGAAUUUUGUGUUCCCCUCGGGACGGUGUCGCGGUAACACCGGUCCACUUCCGGGUUGCGCCCGAUGUCACAAUAACAACGCUAAUGACCGAUUGACAUCUGGUGUGGGGGGUUUGAUGUGGCGAUCUGUGAGAGGAUUAUGGAGGCGGAGUAACCACAUAAAAAGAGGAGUGCAGAGACCAUACGGGAGAUUCUAUUUGGUCGUUCGUUCUCCCGGCUAUUCUUCCUGGUUGGCUUGCCCCCGUGUGUGGUUCUUCUCUUUGGAUGUGUUCCCCUAGGAGAAGUGAAUUCCUGGGACGUUUGGGCUGGCGUGUGGAGGUAUUUGAGGACUAUUGUGGGGUUUCGGCUAUCUGGCUGUGCGACAGAUAUAUCAGCGAUCGAGUGGAGAUAUUCAGGACAGAAAGAGUGUGAGUUCUGGAAAGCAAGUGAAGACCAGGCCGCGCCAUCACUAUCGGAGGGAAGUUAAGAGACCUGAUCUGGGACUUCGAUCAAUUGUAUACAUCUGGACUGGGAGUGAUAACGUGUGAAGUGGACGGAGCCAUCGUUGGGUGAGUGCUGGCUCUAUUUGCACUAAGAGUGGGUGUGCCGUGUCUGAAGUGGUGUGUUUGCACAAUAAAUCGUUUGAAGUGAAGUUACAGAGUGUGGGGAAGAUAUAUAGAGUUAAUGCCGGACGCUCAUCACCCCGAGAGCCCACCACCGUCACCGUAAUCCACACCCAGGCACUCAAUUGAAGUAUCCCCAAGCCGUAAGCCCCAUUUCUUAUUCAAGAACACAUACAUGCUGUUGAUUACUUAUCCCGCUGUGUAGAUCGCAGGAUCCUCUGGGCCGAGCGCCGCAUGUGAUGUCCCUAUGAAAGGAGGUGGACACACGAAUCAUUCCUUUCCCGGUUUUAACCGAAGCAUCUCCCAGCCGUAAGCCCCACUACUUAUUCAAGAACACAUACUUACUGUUGAUUACUUACUCUGCUGUGCAGAUCGCAGGAUCCUCUGGGCCGAAUACUGUAUGUGAUGUCCCUGUAGAAAGAGGUGGACACACGAAUUAUUCCUUUUCCGGUCUUAACCGAAGCAUCUCCCAGCCGUAAGCCCCACUACUUAUUCAAGAACACAUACUUACUGUUGAUUACUUACUCUGCUGUGCAGAUCGCAGGAUCCUCUGGGCCGAAUACUGUAUGUGAUGUCCCUGUAGAAAGAGGUGGACACACGAAUUAUUCCUUUUCCGGUCUUACCCGAAGCAUCUCCCAGCCGUAAGCCCCACUACUUAUUCAAGAACACAUACUUACUGUUGAUUACUUACUCUGCUGUGCAGAUCGCAGGAUCCUCUGGGCCGAAUACUGUAUGUGAUGUCCCUGUAGAAAGAGGUGGACACACGAAUUAUUCCUUUUCCGGUCUUACCCGAAGCAUCUCCCAGCCGUAAGCCCCACUACUUAUUCAAGAACACAUACUUACUGUUGAUUACUUACUCUGCUGUGCAGAUCGCAGGAUCCUCUGGGCCGAAUACUGUAUGUGAUGUCCCUGUAGAAAGAGGUGGACACACGAAUUAUUCCUUUUCCGGUCUUAACCGAAGCAUCUCCCAGCCGUAAGCCCCACUACUUAUUCAAGAACACAUACUUACUGUUGAUUACUUACUCUGCUGUGCAGAUCGCAGGAUCCUCUGGGCCGAACGCCGUAUGUGAUGUCCCUAUGAAAAGAGGUGGACACAAGAAUUAUUCCUUUCCCGGUCACAACCGAAGCAUCUCCCAGCCGUAAGCCCCAUUACUUAUGCAAGAACACAUACUUGCUGUUGAUUACUUACUCUGCUGUGCAGAUCGCAGGAUCCUCUGGGCCGAACGCCGUAUGUGAUGUCCCUAUGAAAAGAGGUGGACACAAGAAUUAUUCCUUUCCCGGUCACAACCGAAGCAUCUCCCAGCCGUAAGCCCCAUUACUUAUGCAAGAACACAUACUUGCUGUUGAUUACUUACUCUGCUGUGCAGAUCGCAGGAUCCUCUGGGCCGAACGCCGUAUGUGAUGUCCCUAUGAAAAGAGGUGGACACAAGAAUUAUUCCCUUUCCCGGUCUCGACCGAAACAUCCACGAGCUCUACUUACCCGGAUACCCCCCCUCACUCCGGGACGGGUGACAGACUAUCCUGGCUCUUGC